GACGAACGCUGGCGGCGUGCUUAACACAUGCAAGUCGAACGGAAAGGCCCUGCUUUUGUGGGGUGCUCGAGUGGCGAACGGGUGAGUAACACGUAAGUAACCUGCCCUUGACUUUGGUAUAACUUCAGGUAACUGGGGCUAAUACCGGAUAGGAGCUCCUGCUGCAUGGUGGGGGUUGGAAAGUUUCGGCGGUUGGGGAUGGACUCGCGGCUUACCAGCUUGUUGGUGGGGUAGUGGCUUACCCAGGCUUUGACGGGUAGCCGGCCUGAGAGGGUGACCGGGCACAGUGGGACUGAGGUACGGCCCAGACGGCAACGGGAGGCAGCAGUGGGGAAUAUGACACAAUGGGCGGAAGCCUGAUGCAGCAGCGCCGCGGGCGGGAUGACGGCCUUCGGGUUGUAAACCGCUUUCGCCUGUGACGAAGCGUGAGUGACGGUAAUGGGUAAAGAAGCACCGGCUAACUACGUG
rnacentral:rRNA from 1 species